rnacentral:rRNA from 1 species
CAGUAGCCGCGGUAAUACGUAGGUGGCAAGCGUUGUCCGGAAUUAUCGGGCGUAAAGCGCGCGCAGGUGGUUUAAUAAGUCUGAUGUGAAAGCCCCCGGCUUAACCGGGGAGGGUCAUUGGAAACUGGGAGACUUAGAGUGCAGAAGAGGAGAGUGGAAUUCCAUGUGUAGCGGUGAAAUGCGUAGAUAUAUGGAGGAACACCAGUGGCGAAGGCGACUCUCUGGUCUGUACUGACGCUGAGGCGCGAAAGCGUGGGGAGCAAACAGGAUUAGAUACCCCUGUAGUCCCUGUCUCUUAUAC